rnacentral:misc_RNA from 1 species
GUCUUUUGUCGUCUAGUGAGUGUAUAGAGAUAAAGGGGAAGCGAAGUGAAGUGUGUGAAAGGCAUAUUUUGGCCCUGGAGAGGAAAUACAACACGGUCUUUCUAUGUCAAGAGAAGACGUGGCAGCCAUGGCUCUGUCAUCGGAGUUUGUGUCGCUGGUCCAGCAGGAGAUUCCAGAGGGACGGCAGUCGCUCUCGGACUCUCAUGCUAACUUGGAGAAAGUGGCUUCGUACUGCAUAGAGAACUUUGCGAGGGCCGAGAACAAAGCCCAAGCACUGGAGGAAACCAAGAAUUACACGACGCAGUCCCUCGCUAGCGUGGCUUACCAGAUUAACACUCUAGCAUACAACUUCUUGCAAAUGAUUGAUCAACAAGCACACCAACUGGCAGAAAUGGAGAGCCAGGUGAAUUACAUAUCUCAGAUGGUAAUGGUUCACAAAGAGAAAGUGGCCAGGAGGGAGAUCGGUGUCCUCACAACCAACAAGACGACGGCCAGGCAAUACAAGAUACUUGCACCAGCCAAUACGGAGAAACCAAUCAAAUACGUGAGGAAGCCCAUCGACUUUGGAUGCACCCAUAAUGACCUGACAUGCACAGACAUCAAUUUACUAUUACAAGGCUUAGAUGAUGUAGGGCAUGGCAUACGCUCAUCAUCCAGCAGCACCCCACGGUCCAGACGCUCAGCCAGCAGUGUGGGCAUGCCCCCUCCAGUCCACCAACCCCCCACCUCUGCCGGACCUGCCCCUACCACGAAGCCACCAACACCUCCCCAGGCCAACCGGUCUGUGAGCAGCCUCUCAAGGGGCUCACGGGAAUACCGCACUCCUCCAGCUGUGGCACCUCCUCAGGUACCCAGCAACUAUGCUCCCAACUACCCCAUUGGCCACCCACGACGUAACGACCGCUCGAGUGGCUACAGCACCUUGCCCCACCAGUCAGCAGCCCACGUAUCCCCCAUGAACCAUAACGGAGGAGCAGCUCCCCCUCCUCAAGUGGGCAUGGUGCAUCCCAUGGCCCAUGGCGCACCCCAGGGCUCCUACACCCCGCCUCCUCCCCCACCCCACAUGGAGCAACCGCAGUAUGCAGCCCACCCUAUGGGCAUGCCACCCCCCCCAUCGCCAGCCUCCUCCGGGGUGGUGAGUGAGCAGGAGUACAACAGCCGCUCGUCGGGUGCCUCGUCCCCCCCACUGCCCCCACCUCCCCCCAGCGACACCGACAUCCCCCCGGCUGUGCCCCCACACUUCAUGGAGAAAGCCAUGAAUGACGACCCAGCCCCUCACCGUGUCCCAGGCCCUAAUCCCCCAGCGGUGCCCCCCCACUACUUGGAGAAAGGGCAAAAGAUGGGUUGAAGAAAUUUGAUAAUGGAAGUAGUGACUUUUUGAGGAAGAUAGCCUGAGCAGAGGACUUAUAGCUAAUCAUUGCAGUUUAUGACUACUCGGCCGACAAAGAGGACGAGCUGAGCUUCUCGGAGAAUGCAGUCAUUUACGUCGUCAAGAAGAACGACGAUGGCUGGUGGGAGGGAGUUAUGAAUGGGGUCACAGGGCUCUUCCCGGG